UUUAAGCUACUGUUUUGUGCUUGUAAUCGUAGCGGAGGCAAGAAUUUGAAAGCUGGUACAGGAACGGUCGGAGACGAUUUGCCAAGAAUCGUUGGCGUUCGGUCAAGUCUUCCAGAAGUCGCUGGAGUAGUAUUUUCGAUUUGGGCCUUUAAGUUUCGAUCUGGCAAGCAUUGUUGUGGCUUGCAAAGUUUCGUGGUUGCCUUAGGGUGGCCAGACCGAUGUCUCUGAUCGUUGCCUAGGUGUAGAGGUUUUUGAAUUUUUCAUGAAUCGUUUGUCUCCGAUUCAUGAAAAAUUCUUCCGUUGCGGUAGUGUAUGUAGCAUUAUAAUUAAGUUUGUGUAGCUAUUUUAUUUUGAGCGUGUAGUCCUACCAUGUGAGUGAAAAACAUACCAAAGAAUGAGUGUAUAGAAAUAAGAGUGUAGCCGUCAAACGCGCACGUGGAGAAAACAACAUAAACAAAGAGCAACGAUCAACAACAAUCAUCAACAAGCAACCAGAACAAGAAAACGGUUAAGCGGUUAGAUUCGCCAUCGCGGUGAAUAAAAAGUGCCUGCUAUCAUUGGAGUACCGGAACCGAAGCCAAUCAAGGACGAUAUACCGGAUUUGCUCAGUGAAAAGGUGAGACAGCGCGAUCACUUUAAUCGGAUCAGAUAAACCAAUUGAGAUUCCUCCAAAUCCCAGACAACUGAUUGUGAGCGACACGUAGCAGCAUCGACCGAGCCAGCACCGACAAGAUUCAACCUGUGCGGAAGCAACGGUUGAUGUUAGCGUUGUGCUGAGAGAAGUAGAGCGCGAAAGAACAUUUGAAGCAGCGCAAACCAGGUAGUAGGGUGAGUGAAGCAAAUUGAAAAUCCCCUCCUACAAAUGGUGUUAAGACACUUUCGACCUUACAGAGUACGCACGGAACUGCUGCCCUGGGAUUCACCCAUCCGACGUUGGGAAUUGGAGGUGCCGGAAGAAAGCGACCCCUAGCGGGUGAGUAGCCAAAUUACUGUGCUGAAAAGUAGUUUAUAUGAAUCCAAAAGUAACAAUCGGCAGGUCGUUUUUGGGAGCUGAGAAAUACGCUUUUCGGGACUCGAUUUUCGCCAUCUUGGUUUUGCGAGUCCCGUUUUUGCGUAAGUAAGCUGCGGACGUAGAGAGAGCCCGCCGGAUCGAGCCGGAAGUCGUCGGAAGUGCUCCGGGCAGCUGCGGUACGCCCGUCGAAGCAGUGAAGCCUGGCAGGGUUGCCAGUUCACCGGAUACGACUGCAAUACGAAAAUUAAAGCUGUGAUACACCUGUGCCGUCCAAGCAGCUGUGAUAUGAUUGUUGUGCGUUUGAUGUUAGAGUAGGAAAACGGGCCCGUGAGUAGUUAUUAUGUAAGCUAGCUUAAGUUUUUAAAAUGUCGUGUGUAAGUAAAUAAUUAUAAUUGCUACAGAUUUGGGUUUUGCGUGUUUGUGUUUUGGGUAAAAGUUAGCCGAGCAGCACACACUGAAAGUCAGUGGUGCUCAACUUGUUUCAGUGCAUUCGACAGCUACACUAGCCAAGGAAUCAACUAAUAAAAAAAACUAGCCAAGGAAUACAUUUCCAUUCGAUUAUGCGCUAUAAUCCACAGUCUGCUUCGAAAUGAAUCGGAUCAGGGGCUUCCGGAAAAUGAUCUACAAGAGCUUCCGGAAAAUGAUCUGUAGGAGCAGACAAUAUUAUCAACGAUAGCUAUGCGGGAGACUCUAUUGCCUUGAACGAAUCCGGCCCCAACGGUAGAAAAUGUUACCUCAUCAGAAUGGCAAGGACAAACGAGAUGGAGACUGCCGGUAGUUUAGGAAUGGCAAACAUCUGCUACGAAACACUUAUCAUGUAAAAGUUUUACUGAGAAUAGAGCUUCCCCUCGCUCGGCGAAUCCUUCCGAUACGAAAAUAGCGGUUCGAAACCGGGUACAAGGUACAGAGUGCAGUGCCAGUUACCUGGUGAGGAGGCAGCGUUCGCGACUGUGAUGGAAGCAGGGGCCGACGAAAGCUGAAUUUGCUGAUCGGUGUAACCACGUAACCAUUCCGCCCCGCAGAUGCAACAAAAAAUAGUGCCAAUUUUGUUUUAAAUAGAUUAAAUA